UAUGUCCUGCUCUACCCUGACACGACACCAGUCGUCAACAUUCCCGGGACAGAUAUGCCUUUCUUACUGCAACUUUAUAAAGAUGCAGUGGGGAAGGGAUAUCAAAGACUCACCCUCUAUAUAUGUGCAUCGGAAGACUUCCUUUCAUGAGUAUUUGUGAUGCACACCACACUACUCUGUGAAGUGCUCCUGACCUUCAGGAGGAACAAGGAUCAACUGGAGGUCAACCUGGGAAGAGGAUACUUGAAGCUGUUGCUGCCACUGAAAAGCGCAACCCUGUUAAAGGACUCGAGCUGGAAGUCAAGUGUGCCGAUCUUGGCAGACCUGUGCCACUGUGAGGUGUUGAGUGCGUCUUGGGAGAGCUGACAUCUCUUCACAGCAAGAACCUUGAUUGGUGCAGAGCUGAAGCAUCACACAUAAAGGAGUGCACAAUCACCUUUAGAGGUUUACCUCUGGUCACUCAAUAGACUUCUGAAAAAAAUAUGGGGAUUUGGAAUUAUCCCACCUGCAGGGACGACAAAAUCGGAAAUUCAAAUGUUUUGUUCUACACACUUUUGUCCUCUGUCUGAGUGGAUACUGUAAUCUCCGGUAUGAGAAGUAGACCAUAGUUCCCUCAUCUGAUUCAUAACAUCCUCUCUUUUGACAUCCUCUUGACAACAUAACCAUACCAGAGUGAUAGAGAAACCAUACUAGUGGUAGUAGACCAUAGUAGGCAUCUUGACACACACACCACCCUGUCUGCAGUUGAAAGUCGUUGUAUUUUGACUUGUUUACAGUUCUUGAAGUGC